rnacentral:sRNA from 1 species
ACCUUUUGGGGAGUAGCCGCCUUUCCGCCACGGGAAGGGCCCGCGUCAACAGGCUUGGCCCGACACGGCCAUGGCGCGGGCAGCCUGCCGGCCUGGCGAGACCAUGGACCUUCCCUGCCGCGCCGGGCGGCAGGGCCGAGGUCUAUGCGUAGCGGCCCGGCAGGAGU